rnacentral:rRNA from 1 species
ACUGCAUUUGCUUAUUGCACCACAUGUGUUUUUUAUUGAACAAAUUUCUUUGGUGGCGGGAGCAAUCCUACCGCCAGAGGUUAUAACUAAACCAAACUUUUUAUUUACAGUCAAACUUGAUUUAUUAUUACAAUAGUCAAAACUUUCAACAACGGAUCUCUUGGUUCUCGCAUCGAUGAAGAACGCAGCGAAAUGCGAUACGUAAUAUGAAUUGCAGAUAUUCGUGAAUCAUCGAAUCUUUGAACGCACAUUGCGCCCUUUGGUAUUCCAAAGGGCAUGCCUGUUUGAGCGUCAUUUCUCCCUCAAACCCCCGGGUUUGGUGUUGAGCAAUACGCUAGGUUUGUUUGAAAGAAUUUAACGUGGAAACUUAUUUUAAGCGACUUAGGUUUAUCCAAAAACGCUUAUUUUGCUAGUGGCCACCACAAUUUAUUUCAUAACUUUGACCUCAAAUCAGGUAGGACUACCCGCUGAACUUAAGCAUAUCAAUAAGCGGAGGAA